rnacentral:ncRNA from 1 species
UAUCUUCGGGGCGGGGUGAAAUUCCCCACCGGUGGUAAAGCCCACGAGCCAAUUUGGUUGAUUCGGUGCAAUUCCGAAGCCGACGGUACAGUCCGGAUGAAAGAAGAGG